UACAGUGGGUGGCAAGCGUUGUUCGGAAUUACUGGGCAUAAAGGGUGCGUAGGUGGCUUGUUAAGUCAGGGGUGAAAGUUUUCGGCCCAACCGGAAAAUGGCCUUUGAUACUGGCGAGCUCGAGUGCGUGAGGGGUAACCGGAACGAGCAGUGUAGCGGUGAAAUGCGUAGAUAUUGCUCGGAAGGCCAACGGCGAAGGCAGGUUACUGGUACGCAACUGACACUGAGGCACGGAAAGCGUGGGGAGCAAACAGGG
rnacentral:rRNA from 1 species